rnacentral:siRNA from 1 species
CUCCAAAAGUUCUACAUUCCGAGG